AAGGAUUACAGCUCUCAUUCUGGCAAUGAAGAAACAGUCUGAGAACAGAUGAAUCUUUCUUCCAGCUCACAGAACUGAACAAAUGCACGCUCAUUCUGACUGCGGUAGAUGACUGCCCACCGUUGUUACAGUAUUUUAUGGAACAAGUGAGCACAUGAAGCAGAAAGGAGCUGCAUUGCCUGGGAACACUUAUAAUAAAGUUUCCCUCAUCACAGCCUUCUCCAGAAGUCACUGCGUCCCACCCACAGCCACCUCUGUUUCUCAUUGCUUCUAGACACUGCCUUUUACUAUUUCAACCUCUUCACGUGUGGAGUCCAUGCCAUAGGCUUCCUGUGCUCUGUUUGUGAUGCUGAGGAUAUGGCCCAGGGCCGUAUGCAUGCAGAUAAGUGCUCUAUCACCAGGCUGUAGCCUCAAACCUCAAACGUCUCUUUAUUGUUCUCCAUCCUUCACUUAUAGCAUUAGGUCAAACUCUCUUCUCAACACAAAUGUUACUAAAAACUUCUUGGCUGGGCUGGUGAAUAGCCCAUGUGCCUGCCUUUCCAG
rnacentral:lncRNA from 1 species